rnacentral:lncRNA from 1 species
GGGUCACCGCAGCACGUCCAGGCCGCCGCGGGUGCCGCUGGGGCCGCCGGAUUCCGAGAGCGGCGCCGGGCUCUUUCGGGCCCACGACGGCCCCGACCGUCCUGAGGAAACCGCUGCCGCCGAGGAAAGGCCGCAAAAACUGUUCCGCCCGGAAGGGAGAAGAGCUGCGGGGCGAAGCCAGGGCUCGCAGGGGGCAGCGGCAGGCUGCUCGCGUUCGGCCUCGUCCACUCGGCCCGCGGAGAGCGCGGGGGGCGCUGGGAACCGCAGUCACGCAUGCGCCGCCUGCCACCGAGCGCCGCGGGGCCCGCGCGAGGCGUCCUGGCGGGCGAGGGGCUGGGGGAGGGGGGGGGGGCCGUGCGGUGGACUCUCGCGAGAGCGCGCGGCGCGGUGACUCGUCGCUGAGGGACUUUAAGAUUGUAGAGGGGCGCGGAGGGUCCUCCCCGGGGCGGAGGGACACAGAGGGAUUCUAGGGAACCUGCCGUCGCGAGUCCCGCUUCAGGCGGAGAAUCUAGGCGGCGGCGGGGCCUCCCUGAGGCGGAGGAGUCGGCACCGGGGCCUGGCUGCCGGGGAAGGAGAGCACGGGAGCGGGGACUCCUGUGUCUGGCGGAGGGACACGGCGUUCCGGUGGAGGGAUCUGUUCCUUGUACCUGGUCCAGGGUUGCGGUCGGGGAUGGAGCGGUUACCCCGACCCUGCGGGACCUUCUUCCUCUGGCGGAGGUGCACGGCGCGGCGUGGUGUUUUUCUGGCGGAAGUAUCUGUGCGUGGCCCCAGGCCCUUCCCGGCGCGGUCUCAUCUGGGGCCACUUGUUGGCCCUCGCGUUGGGGAGGUUCAUGUGGUGCAUCCUGAUGAGAAGGGGGGUCACAGGGGUCUCGGGGCCAGGGUUCAGCCAGCCAGGCCCCAGCUUGCUCUCUUCUGGUGCUGCCCCUGUCCCUGAAUUCAUAGACCCGGCUUUCCCUCUCUUGAGCACCUACUAUGUGCCAGGCUGCGCUUUGCGCAUGUAGCAGAGGCAACAGUGUCACCUGGGAAGCUGGUUUCCCCCAAAGGAACUCUUGUCUGUCCGUUGUUGCAGAGCCAGCGCAUGAGACCAAGUGUGAGUAUCAGGCAGUGCAGCCUUCAUUCAGUGGCCAUGGAAUUGGAGAAGUGGGAGGGUAGCUCGCAAAUCAAGCUCUCAGCUCUUGGAAACUGAGAAGUUACAGGUAAUAGGGAGUGUUGACGAAAAGUAAAACCGUGCAAAAUAUUUGAAGAGAUUUAUUGUGAGCCAAAUACGAGUAACCACAGCCUGUGAUACAGCCCUCUCGAGGCCCUGAGAACAUGUGCCCAAGGUGGUCGGGGUGCAGCUUGGUUUUAUGUUUUAGGUUGGCAUGAGACAUCAGUCAAAUACAUUAAAUACAUUGGUUUGGUCCAGGAAGGCGGGACAACGCAAAGGGGUGGGGGUGGGGGCUUCCAGGCUAUAGGUAAAUUUAAAUAUUUUCUAGUUGACAAUUGGUUGAGUUUGUCUGAAGACCUGGGAUUGAUAGAAAGGAAGUGUUCAGGUUAAGAUAAAAGAUAGUGGAGACUAAGGUUCUUUUGAAGUCUUAUGGUGGCUGCUCUUAGAGAUAAUAGAUGACAAAUGUUUCCUAUUCAGAUCUUCAAAAGGUGUUAGACUUUUAGUUAAUCCGUUUAGGAUUGGGAGGGCCUGGAAGAAAAACAUCUAGCUAUGUUAAUAGAUGUUCUUUACAGAUGCACAUUUUACCCCACAAAGGAUAGCUUUUGGGGGAAAAUGCUGUCCUUUAUGGAAGAAAUUGCAAAAUAGGGCAAGGAAACAUGUUUUGGGGUAAAAUAUUUUGACUUUCUUUUUGUCACGUAAUGUUAUGCCAGAGUCAGAAUGGAAAGUAAGUCAUCAUAUAUAGGAUUAAAUAAAACCCAUCUGAUGAGAAUUUAUGGUUUGUAGGUCAUGACUCCCCAGAUCCCUUAGAUAGGAAUUUGGGCAGGAUUAAAAAAAUCAAGAGUUUAGGCUGGUCGUGGUGGCUCACGCCUAUAAUCCCAGCAUUUUGGGAGGCCAAGGCAGGUGGAUCGCUUGAGGUCAGAAGUUUAAGACCAGCCUGGCCAACAUGGCGAAACCCCGUCUCUACUAAAAAUACAAAAAUUAGCUGGGCAUGGUGGCACACGCCUGUGAUUCUAGCUGAUUGGGAGGCUGAGGCAUGAGACUCAACUUGAACCCGGGAGGCGGAGGUUGCAAUGAGCUGAGAUUGUGCCACUGCACUCCAGCUUGGUUGACAAAGUGAGACUCUGUGUCAAAAACAAAACAAAACAGAAAAAAAAAACAAAAGAAUCAGAGCUUAGUCGUCAGGUGUCCUUAAUGAAGGGGCUGGGCAUUAAGAGCAAGGCGAGGAGGCAGAAGGAAAGCUUGAGCCCAGGAAUUGGAGACCAGCUUGGGCAACAUGGUAAGACCCUGUCUCUAAAAAAAAUAAAAAUUAAGAACAAGAGGAGGAAUAUUCAUGUUUUUUCUUGGGAAGGGAGGUAGAUUUUCCUGGAAUCAAGGAGCUGCCCCUUUUUUUGUCCUUUUUUUGGUCUCUUCGGGUCAUCACGGUGAUUGUCAACUGUCAUGGCAACCAGUGGGAAUGUCAUUUAGUACUGAAGUUGGAUUAGAAUGAAGCUAGAGGUUCUUCAGAGGUCGAGUAAGCUAAGAAGGAACCUAUGACCACAGACAACCUGUUUUCUAAAAAUAAGCAGAGUUAAAUCUGAGUAGGAAUUUAGCUAUGUCAUGGAGGCAUUGCAUUGGGUAACAAAAGCCAGGUAGGCGUCCAGCUAAGUCCCCUAGGCCCUGCAACGGGUAACAGCAGUACUGACUCUAUGUUAGAGAAAAGCUUGCUUGCUUGAGUAUAAUUAUUGUUUUGCCUGAGUUUGUAAACUAUUCACUAAAAACAGCCACAGAAAAAAACAGGACCUUCUUCAACAGAUAAAACACACAGACCCGCAGCUUUGGGAACAGGCUGAUGGCCCCUGCACAGUCUAGUCACAAGGCAUUGACCAAGAAAGUAAUGACUAACUGCCCAUCUGAGACUGCGCAUGAUUCACAAGAAUGUUUCUUUGUUUUGUUUUUUGAGACAGUCUUGGUCUGUCUCCCAGGCUGGAGUGCAGUGAUGUUGGUUCGCUGUAGCCUCUGCCUCCUGAGUAGCUGGGACUACAGGCGUGUGCCACCGCACCUGGCUAAUUUUUGUAUUUUUAGUAGAGAUGAUGUUUGACUAUGUUGGCCAGGAUGGUCUCGAACUCCUGACCUCAAGUGAUCCACCUGCCUCGGCCUCCCAAAUUGCUGGGGUUACAAGUAUGAGCCACCGCUCCUGGCCCACAAGAAUGUUUUGAUCAUUAUUUCUCCUAAUUUUCCUUAAAAUCCCUGGAUCUAGAGGCACAACUGAGAAAGGUGGUCUUUGAAUGCUAGUGCACUGCCUUUUGCAGGUUGCUGGUUUCUCGAAUAAAGCUAACUUUGCUUUCACCAAAGCUUGUCUUUUGAGUUUUUGGCUUUCAGGCGACGAGUGGCCUGGACACCAGUUCGGCUACAUGUAUGUCAGUGGGCAAAACAAAAAUCCUUAUUCUGGGAGGUAGAUAGCUUAUUAGAAAACACAACCUAAUCACUUGUUUCCCAAAUGUUAAAAAUUGAGCCAAUUUUAGCCCCAGAAGCUUAGGGUACCAUGUACAUAACAGGCAUUACCUGAGGGUGGGGCAGAGAGAAUCAGUGGGGUACCUCGUAUAUGCCAGGGGUUGUAUCAGCAUCCUUACACAGCUCAUUUUUCUUUUUAAAUAAUACUUAUUGAGGACCUAUUUAAUGCCAGAUAUGGUGGUAGGUAGGGAGCAAAAGCAGGAUUCCCCUCCCAUUAUUGAGUUUUCAGUCUGGUGGGAGAGGCAGGAAUUAAAUAAGUAAUCCACAAACUCAAGUACAAUUCUAAGGGAGAUGGGUGCCACCAAGAAGAGACAUGGUGCUGAGAACCUAUGUCUGUCAGAGGGAUUUGAUCUAUUUGGGAGGUCUGGAAAGGUUUUUUUGAAGAAGCAGUGCUAGGGGUGAGAUCCAAAGGAGAAGAGCUAAUUAGGCAAAGCCUAGUCCUCACAAAAAUCCUAUAAACCAGAUAUGAUUACCUUCAUUUUAGAGUUUAGGGCAUUGAGACUUGAGCAAGGUGAUGUCACUGCCCAAGGUUACAUCAGAUUAAAUGGCAACCCAGGAUUCAGAUUCAAAUAAGAGUAGGGUUCUUUAUAUUCUCCUUGGGCUAUUUGGUGGUUUUAGGAGAGGCAAGUAUCACAAACAGCUUGGGGACAUGAGGGAGCAGGAAUCACAAACUUGAAAGCCUGCAGAGCUCAGGCAGAUAGCAUAGAGUGAAGUAGGGCAGAGUGUAAGACAAUAGGGGAUGGUGGGGAGUGUGGUGAGCUGAAGGCCACAUUUCCUGUCUAAAGGAAGCAGCCACUAGUUCCAGUCUCUUGUUGCCAUGCAGGAUUACAGACCAAGCCCUGCUGGAUCUUCUGAUGAUAUUAUUUUGAGGGCUUGGCGCGGUGGCUCACGCCUGUAAUUGCAGCACUUAGGGAGGCCGAGGUGGGCAGAUCACAAGGUCAGGAGAUCGAGACCAUCCUGGCUAACAUGGCGAAACCCUGUCUCUACUAAAAAUACAAAAAAUUAGCUGGGCGUGGUGGUGGGCGCCUGUAGUCCCAGCUACUCUGGAGGCUGAGGCAGGAGAAUAGCGUGAACCCGGGAGGUGGAGCUUGCAGUGAGCCGAGAUCGCGCUACUGCACUCUAGCCUGGGCAACAGAGCGAGACUCCUUCUCAAAAAACAGGCUAGAGUGCAGUGGUGCAAUCAUAGCCCACUGCAGCUGGGACUGCAGACACAUGCCACUACCCGGCUAAUUUUUAUAUAUUUUUUUCAGAGACAGGGUCUCACUAUGUUGCCCAGGCUGGUCUGAAACUCCUGAGCUCAAGUGAUCAGCCUGCCUUGACCUCCCGAAGUGCUGGAAUUACAGGCGUGAGCCCCUGCGCCCGGCCUAGAUCUUCUGAUUUCUAAAAAGAAGCUGGCAGUAUUUUUAGGUGAAGUUAUCACACUUCUAAAUAAUUGGCAGUUACAUGAGUUUGCCUCACUAUAAUGUUAACUCAGUGAAGCAGGACAUUUUAUGUUUUUAACCACUGUGUACUGGGAGCUUAUAAAGUGCCUUACGCAUAGUAAGCACUCAACCUCAUCUGUGGUAUGUAGCCUCUGAGCGAUUCCUCCCUUGUGCGCAUGGUUUCACAGUUUUUGAAGCAGUUUUAUGGUCAUUAUUUUAUCCACCAGUUUUUCAGCUGGCACCUCAUUUGUCCUGAUGCGGCUGCUGCAGGAAAAGUCCCCGGAAAGGCUCCCCAGGGAAAUAUUUAGUUGUGCCUUCCUUUUGUACCUUUCCGCCCUCUUUGUAUUUUACAUUUUCUCCAUCCUAAUGUGCCUGGCAUUAUACCUUGGCUCCCUCUAGUUAUCCAGCCCAUUUUAUAUUUAAUAUUUUGUUGUUGCUUUGGUUCUCACCUAGACUUUAUGUAUUGACCUGGGGCCCAUGACCACACUUAGGUAUACUUUCACUUACUCUUGGCCCAGCCCCUGCUCCCAGCUGCUUGUCAGGGAAAAGUGCAUGAAAAGGUUUCAUUUCUUAGAAAUUGCUGUCCUGAGACAUCUUGCGAAAGUGAUCAUCCCUGGACAUCUGAACUUCCUACUCCAUCACAUGGACUUGAGCAAGAGAAAAAUCUCAGGUCUGCAUGGGGCAUUUAGAACCUUGCCUCCUGAAAGCUCCUCAGGGUGCAGAGGGAAUCAGGUUUGCUCUUUAUUAUUUCUUAGGUGCAGGAUCAUAAGUUGUUCAGGAAUUGUUACAAUUUUGUGGUAGCCUCUCAGUAACACACACAAGUGCGCACACACAGACUCAUAUAUACGCAUAUGUCUGUGUAUAUAUAUAUAUUUUUUGCAUAUGUAUAUAUUUAAUGGAAAAUUUCGAACAUAAAAUAGAAUCCUCACGUUUCUGUCCUCCAGCUUUAACAAUGAGCAAUUCAUGGCCAAUCUUGUCUCACCUGCUCUGAUCCUGGAUUAUUUUGAAGCAAAUUCUGGACAUGAUAUUUUUUAUUUGAAACUAUCAGAAUGUAUUGUGUAAAGACAGGAACUCUUUUUUUUUUUUUUUUUUUUGAGACAGAGUCUUGCUCUGUCGCCCAGGCUGGAGUGCAGUGAUGCGAUCGCGGCUCACUGUAACCUCCACCUCCCAGUUUUAAGUGAGUCUCCUGCUUCAGCCUCCCGAGUACCUGGGAGUAUAAGCGUGCACCACCACUCCAAGGUAACUUUUUGUCUCUAGUAGAGGUAGGUUUCGCCUUGUUGGCCAGGUUGGUCCUGAACUCCUGGCCUCAAGUGAUCCGACUGCUUCAGCCUCCCAAAGUGCUGUGCCUGGCCAGGAACUCUUAUUUUAAACAUAGCUUCAAUAUCAUCAUAAGCUCUUCUCAAUUGUAUCAACAAUUCCUUAAUACCAUUUAAAGAAACAGCUAAUUUGGGCCAGGCAUGGUGGCUCAUUCCUGUAAUCUCAGCACUUUGAGAGGCUAAGGGGGGGAUGAUUGCUUGAGGCCGGAAGGUCAAGACCAGCCUGGGCAAUAUAGUGAGAUCCUCAUCUCUACAAAGAUAAAAGUUAAGCAGGUGUGGUGGCACACACCUGUAGUGCUAGCUAUUCAGGAGGCUGAGGUGGAAGAAUUGCUUGAGCCCGGGAGGUCGAGGCUGCAGUGAACCAUGAGGGAACCACUACACUCCAGUUUGGGUGAUAGAGUGAGACUGUUUCCUCAAAAAACAACACAACAACAACAAAAAGAGCAAACUCAGGACAGCUAAUUCGUUUGCAAAAGAUAAAAGGGUUAUAGAUGCUGGACAUGUAAAAAGAACAGAUGUCCUCCACAUUUGCUAACUAGGUGUUUACAUUUAGUUCAGCAUGAAAAUGGUGUCUUGGGAACAGAAAAGCAGAUUGUUGAAGAAGUAGUGGAUCAAUAUGUAGGUCAGUAAAUGAAGCAGGUCAUGGUACUCUGAGGUAUUUUUAAGAAGUGGUUAUUUUCUCAAGACCCCAAUCCUCUGAGUUGAUCCAAACCCAGAGCCACUCUCUUUGAUGCCAAGAACAAUGUUCACACUAAUCUUUCUUUGGUAGAACAUCAUAUAUCACAGCUGUUAUUUUCUAAAUAGGCGCAGAUCCAACUUUUGCACCAGAUUCCUCUGUCCAUGGUGCUGAGCCACCAGCCUUUUGGCCAGCAGGCUGAUGAACUAUAACUUGGUGUUGGCUAGUGGGAUCUAAUUUAGGGUCACUGUAAACGUGAAUAUUAAAUAUGCAUUAAAGUCCUAAGAAAUUAUAUCUGUGCAUAUGUUAGUUAAAAAAUAAAAACUCCAAGAUAGAGAAUUUUUUAGUAAUGCCUGUUAUUUCUCAUUUUUUUUUCAUUUUUUCCUUUUUCUUUUUUUUUUUUUUGAGACAGAGUUUCACUCUGUUGCCCAGGCUGGAGUGCAGUGGCACAGUCUUGGCUCAGUGCAACCUCUGUCUCCUGUGUUCAAGUAAUUCUGCCUCAGCCUCCCAAGUAGCUGGGAUUACAGGCACAUGUCACCACGCCCAACUAAUUUUUGUACUUUUGGUAGAGAUGAGGUUUCAUCAUGUUGGCCAGGCUGGUCUCGAACUCCUGACCUCAAGUGAUCCGCCCACCUCGGCCUCCCAAACUGCUGGGGUUACAGGCAUGAGCCACCGUGCCAGGUUAUUUCUCAUUUCUUUUAUUUUCUUUUCCUUUCUUUCUCUUUUCCUUCCUUCCUUCCUUCCUUCCUUCCUUCCUUCCUUCCUUCCUUCCUUCCUUCCUUCCCUCCAUCACCCAAGCUGGGGUGCAGUGGUGCAGUCUUGACUCACUGCAGCCUCCACAUCUCAGGUUCAAGAGAGUCUCAUGCCUCAGCCUCCCGAGUAGCUGGGAUUAUAGAUGUGUAUCACCAUGCCUGGCUAAUUUUUGUAUUUUUUUGUUUUUUUAGUAGAGACAGGGUUUCACCAUGUUGGCCAACUGGUCUCAGACUUCUGGCCUCAAGUGAUUCACCCACCUUGGCCUCCGUAAGUGCUUGGAUUACAGGUGUGAGCCACCGUGCCCAGCCUUUUCAUUUCUUUUAUGCCAAAUCUGAUCUACUUCUUAAAAAUUGAAAAGUAGAAAUGAGAAGAUUGGGUAUGUGUGUACUGGUGUCUACUUCAGACAUAGUAUUAAUAUUUUCAAAUAUGAUUCCUUAACUAAGCUACAUGCCUCUUUAUAAAGCAUCAUGCCAGGCACUAAUGGGAUAGGCAGAUACAUAAGACAUGACCAUUUUACUUAAAGUGUUACAGUAAAGUGGAAAAAAUUUGAGACGGUGUCUUGCUCUGUCCUCAGAUGAUAUCCUCAGGCAAUUGAUUCCCCUCUAUUUUCAGCUCUGUUUUUUCCUGAAUCAACCUUAUUUUCAGUAGGUUCUCCCCAUGUAGUAGCUGCUGGUCUUCUGAAAGAGAGUACACUUCCCUGAACCCCCAGUAGUUUCAGCAAAUGUCCUGGGGCUGACCCUCAUAGGGUUGACUUGGGUCAUGUGCCCAUCCUGAACCAAUCACUGUGACCAGGGAGAGGGAAUUCCUGAUUGGUGAGGCCUGGGUCACAUGUCCACUCUGGAGCUGCGGUGUGUUGUCAGCUCUUUCUGAGCCGCCUGGUCCAAGAGUUUGGAAGGGUUUUUUUUUUUUUUUUUUUCCUAAAGAAAAAUUGAGUGGUCCAUUUUUCCUAAAGAAAAAUUUUCCUAAAGAAAAAUUGCUACUACCAGAAGAAGGGAUAAAGGAUGCUAUACAGGUAAAACGAAGGGAUGUUCACUUUCCCUCAAGGCCCUAGUAGAAGAGGUGUCAUAAAACCGUACAUAAUUCCAUAUGAUUAUAUCAGGCAAUUAGAGCUGUCAAUUCAGAUGUUUUGGAAGUGGUCAAAACAAACUUCAUGGAUGAGACUGAAAUUUAGUUAAGCUUGAGGAAUGGGCAGGAAUUGAUAAGAGGAGUUCUAGAGGUGGGCAGGACUAGAGUACAUUCAAUGGACCAGGGUGAACUGAGUGGGUAGUUGGUGAAGGGAGAGAGGUUGCAAAUGCCAGAACUUUGAUUACCUUGAUAGGAUAACCUUGGCCAAGAGAGUUGCAAGCAAACCUUUUGACAAAAUUUGCUUGAGCCAGCCUGUGGUCUAAUCCUUAUUCUUGUCUGUGAUGCAUGGAUAGCCCUUUGGGUUCUAGCUGGCCUUUGUCUCUGGAGUUCUGGGAACACCUCUUACUGACCUCAUUGCCUACUUUGUGAUGAGGCUUCUAGUUAUUGGAAAAGUCUAAUGUCCAUGUAUGCCCUCCUGUGACCAAUCCGGUUCACCCCUUGUAGUUGAUUGUGCCAAGUCAUUUUAGCCUGGGACACAGAAAAUAUGCUGCAGGCCUUUCCCUAUUUUCAGAGUAAAGCCUUGGGAGAGCUUGCUGCAACACUGUCAAACAGAAGAAAAAUCCCUCUUAAUCAGAAGAGCAAAUGCAGCUGUUUUCAAUGGCAAAGUCAUGGAACCAACCUAAGUGUUUGCCAGUGGUUGACAGGCAGAAAAUGUGGUGGGCUGGACAUGGUGGCCUAUGCCUGCAAUCCCAACACUUUGAGAGGCUGAGUCAGGAGGAUUGCUUGAGGCCAAUACCAUCCUGGGCAACAUAAUGAUAAAAAUAAAAAUAAAAAAUUAGCCAGGUGUGGUGGCAUGCACCUGUAGUCCCACCUACUAGGGAGGCUGAGGUGGGAGGAGCACUUGAACCCAGGAAGUGGAGGCUGCAGUGAGCUGUGAUGGUGCUAUGAUGGCUGGUGGAGUGGGACCCUGUCUCAAAAAAGAAAAAAAAAUGUGGCAGAUCUAUAACAUGGAAUAUUACAUAGCCAUAAAAAGGAUGAAAUCAUGUCCUUUGCAGCAACAUGGAUGGAGCUGGAGGCAAUUAUCCUAGGUGAACUAAACAGAAAAUCAAAUACUGCAUGUUCUCACUUAUAAGUGGGAUCUAAACAAAGGUUACACAUGGACAUAAACAUGGAGAGAAUAGAUUUUGGGGAUUCCUAAUAUGGGGAGGGUGGGAUGGGGGUGAAGGUUGAAAAAUUACCUAUUGGGUACAAUGUCUGGUAUUUAGGUGAUAGGUCCACUAGAAGCCCAACCCACACCAUUAUGCAUGUAAUACCCUUGUAACAAACAUGCACAUGUACCCCCAAAUCUAAAAAAAAAAUCAAGUGAAGCACAAGCAAGGAACAGCUGCAAGGAAAUCAAAGUUCCUUAUGUGCAAGCCACACUUUUAUUGGGUGCUCCCACUUUGCCUCUGUGAGUCCCUAGAGAGGUCCACUAAAAUGUAUUGAAUUUUUAUUAUGAGCCAGGUAUGAUUUUGACUAUUUUAUAUGCAAUAACUAAUUUCGUUCUCAUGCCAACACUGGGAGGUAGAUGCUAUCAAUAUUCCCAUUUACUAACAAGAAAAUUAAAGCAAAGGGAAGUAACAUGCCCGAGUUCUUCUAGCUGCUGAGUAGAGGAUCCUGGAUUCAAAUUCACGUGACCUGACUCCAGAGUUUGUGCUUUUAACCAUUACUUUAUGCUGCAUCUAACCCUGUUAUUUUAACUUACAAUGACUGAAAAAGAAGGCAAAUAAGCUCAUUUAAUUAUCAGAAAGGACUUAAUGCUCAUCAUUGCUAGUCAGGAAUAGAUUGAGAAUGUAGAGGCUGCUGCCAGCAUCUCUUUGUUCUGUGCAUUACCUGUCAGGCUGAGUUUGCCUUUUGUAGACACAAGGAAAUUCCCUUUAUCUUGAUUUCCAUCCCUCUAUUAUUUUCUAACAAGGGCUCCAGCCUUUAUCUGCACCUGCUCCUUUUUAUCUGUCUUGAUAAGACCCAUUUUCCCCGAGUUCUCGCAUUUUUCAGAGCAGGGUACCCAAAGACCAUGAAACCUCUAUGGCUAAUAUUGGUCAACUCUCAUAGGAUAACUUUCAUGUAUUAUACUAAUUAUCUUCUUCCCGCUAGGAAAGAAGUUGAAGAGGAGGAACAAUGGAAAUGAAGGGGUUAGGGGAUAGGAUCUUGCCCCAAUAGGAUGGGAUAAAGGGGCUGUGUGAUUAGGUAGAGCCAUGGGUUCUAUACUUCAAGACCAGAAUCUCAGGCUGGGAUUCUAUGAGUAUUUCCUAUAAGAAAUGCUAUAGAGGCCAGGUGCAGUGGCUCAUGCGUGUAAUCCCAGCACUUUGGGAGGCCGAGGCGAGUGGAUCACCUGAGGUCAGGAGUUUGAAACCAGCCUGGCCAACAUGAUGAAACCUCGUCUCUAUGAAAAAUACAAAAAUUAGCUGGAUGUGGCGGUGCUUGCCUGUAAUCCCAGCUACUCGGGAGGCUGAGGCAGCAGAAUCGCUUGAACCCAGGAGGCGGAGGUUGCAGUGAGCUGAAAUCGCGCCAUUGCACUCCAGCCUGGGCAACAGAGCAAGAUUCCAUCAAAAAAAAAAAAAAAAAAAAAAAAAGCCAUAGAGACUUGGAGUGGCUUAGAAACAGAAAAUGGCAAAUAGCGACCUUGGCCAGAUGUGCCUGGAUUUGAGUCUGUGAACUGCCCAUUUUCCACUGUUGGCCCAGGACUGAAACAAGCAUGUGUAAAAGGGGCUGACCGGUUAUUUCCAAGUUAAGUAAACUUCUCCCUCUUGUCGCUCAGCACAUGAGUUCGUAUGGGAGGUUGAGUAUCAUUCGUGAAAUCCAUAUCCUGAUGUUGGAAUCCCCGAUUUUUUUCUCUUAUGAACACUGUCAGAUGGUGCCAGGCUGUCCCUCCAGCCAUCUGGUUUGGUUUGGGGGUCAGAGGUCUGGCAGUGUCUUCAUGUAUGUGGCUGAUUCUGUGCAUGUCUUGGGAGUUUGGGUAGGUGUAAGCAAGUAGGCAAUUAACUACCCAAAUCAGGAGGUCUGAGAAUGGGCUAGUGGACAGAGCAGGAGCAUUGCUAUCUUGGACAAACCCCACCAUUUUAAAUUCCCCUUGAUUAAAAAAAACCUGCCUAAAUCCAGCCCCCAAACAUCAGCCUAAUGGCUAAUGUUAGCAUAACCAGAAACAUUCCAACCCUAAGAUAAACGCCACUCCAACCAGAAACAUGCCGACCCCAAGAUAGCUUCACCUCCAACCAGAGACUUUCCAACCCCAUGAUAAACUUUCCCUCACAUCGAAACAUUGCGAACCUACGAUAAGCUCCCCACUUCCUAUAUCCUUAAACAUCUUUAGUCUGUAAGAGAGAGUGCCCCCGAUCAAAACUGGUCAGAAACCCCUCAGGUUUAUUCUCCAAAAGAAACUGACUUUGAAUGUUAAGCUGCUUUUCAUGUUUCUUUGCUCUUUAACUCUUACACUAGUGGGUCAUUUCCCAAGUGUGAUGCUAUCUACACUAGUUUACCAUGGUUGCUGAGAAGAUAAAAUAUAUGCCUGGACCUGUUGUUAGUCUACUAGGUUGCUGUAAGGAGAGUCUUCCAAGAAUGAGGCAAGAUAAAAAAGCAGAGGGUGCCACAGAGUUUGAAGUCAUUAUUUGAGCUCCUAGAUGCAACUGCACCUGAAACUAGACCCCUGUCUCUAGGUUUUUGAGCCAAUAUAUUCCUUUGCUUUGCUUAAGCCACUUUGAAUUCAAUUUCUGUCACUUGCAACCCACACAGUUCUGACUGAUAUACAAAAUAAACAUAUUACAUGUUAUCUUCUGUGACUCAGAAAUUAUUAUCCAUUUUUACAGAUGAGGAGUUGGAGUUUUAAAGGUGCAGGUAACUUGCAGUGAAAAGCUAAGGUCUGGCACAAGGUUGAUCUUGAAUCUGAAGAAGAAAUGGUUCAAAGUCUCCUUUAGAGAUGCUACCUUCCUGCUGCUCACUUCCAGAAUUUAGUCAGGGAAUUAUUGGGCUGACUUGAGUUGUUGUGUAUACAGUCUGUGAACUUGCAGUUUAUGGUAUUUUAUAAUUUUGUUUUCCCUGCCGUUCUGCUAAUGCAGCUUUGUGAGCAAACAUUGCCUGUGAUUUAAAUCCACCACCGUAAUGAAACGCACACACACACAUGCACACACACUUCCUUGGAACAGUCCACAGCUCUCUGAUUAAUCACAUGUGUACAGUACAGUGUUUACAGGAAAUCAGCAGGUGGCAAUUAGCAUCUUGGAAAUUAUCUGGGAAACACAACUGGAGCUGCCACUUCAGGAUGGAAAUGUGGCAACAACCGGCAAAGUGACAAACCCCUUGGAGUUGGAAAUGAAUGGGGCUGAAAGCGCUGCCAGGCACACAACAGCUGGUGGGGGCAGCCCGGUGUGGACUGCAGACUGCCUGCUAGCUUCUUCCUUUUCUUCCCAACGCGUAAGAAGCAAUCCUUGAGUAGAGACAUGUAAUAGAUGCUCAGACCUGGCUGGACAUGGUGGUUUAUGUCUGUAAUCCCAGAACUUUGGGAGGCUGAGGCAAAGCCAUGAGUUCAAGACCAGCCUGGGCAACAUAGUGAGACCCUGUCAGUGCCCCCCCACCCCCCAAAAAAAAAAAUUACCCAGGUGUGGUGGGGCAUGUCUGUAGUCCUAGCUACACAAGAGGCUGAGAUGGGAAGAUUGCUUGAGACCAGGAGUUUGAGGCUACAGUGAGCUGAUUGCACCACUGCACUCCAGCCUAGGUGGCAGAGUGAGACCCUGUCUAAAAAAAAAAGGAAAUGUUUUCAACAAUGACCAAAUGGAAUGAAAUAAUGUUUAUUCAGUAUGUAUCACAGUAUCUGCCACAUAAUUCUCAAUAAAUAGUAGGUAUUUUCAAUUAUUAUUUAGAUCAAGGCACAGGCAGACACUGGCAUUACUGUAACACUUGUUAAAAUAUUAAGCUAUUUCCAUAUCAGUUGGAAAACAGCUGCUUUCUUGAACCCUCUGAGUGGCUCCCCACUGCUGCCCUCCCUUGGGAGCCACACUCUUCCGGAUCCAGUGAUCAAAACGUUAACGUCUCAAUCCUGCUCCAGCGAUAAGUCCAGUGUCCAUUCUGAUUGGUCAGUUUCUGUGCUGUCAGGACUCUUACUGCUCAGGAGUUUCAGUGACCACAAGAGAAAGCAGCAACACGAGGAUGGAUGUACUGAAAGGAGUGAGGAGAGGAAACAGUGCCAGUCUGUUUUAUACAUGAGAUGUUCUUCAUCAAUAAUUGAAAACAAAUUCAAUGCUAGUUGGUAUGGUUUGGCUCUGUGUCCCCACCCAAAUCUCAUCUCAAACUGCAAUCCCCACAUGUUGAGGGAGGGACUUGGGAGGUAAUUGGAUCGUGGGGGCAGUUUUCCCAAAGCUGUUUUUGUUUUUUGAGACAGUUUUACUCUUGUUGCCCAGGCUGGAGUGCAGUGGCACGAGCUCAGCUCAUUGCAACCUCCACCUCCUGGGUUCAAGCAAUUAUUCUGCCUCAGCCUCCCAAGUAGCUGGGAUUACAGGUGUCCACGACCACACCUGCCUAAUUUUUUUUGUAUUUUUAGUAGAGACGGGGUUUCACCAUGUUGGCCAGGCUGGUCUCGAACGCCUGACCUUAGGUGAUCCACCUGCCUUAGCCUCCCAAAGUGAUGGGAUUACAGGUGUGAGCCACCACGCCCAGCCCCAAAGCUGUUCUUGUGAUAGUGAGUGAGUUCUCAUGAGAUCUGAUGGUUUAAAAGUGUAGGCCGGGUUCGGUGGCUCAUGCUUGUAAUCCCAGCACUUUGCGAGGCUGAGGCAGGCAGAUCACUUGAGAUCAGGAGUUCGAGUCCAGCCUGGCCAACAUGGCAAAACCCUGUGUCUACUAAAAAUACAAAAAUUAAUUGGGUGUGGUGGUGCACACCUAUAAUCCCAGCUACUUGGGAGGCUGAGGCACAAGAAUCACUUGAACCUGGGAGGCGGAGAUUACAGUGAGCCAAGAUCACACCACUGCAUGCCAACCUGGGUGACACAGCAAGACCCUGUCUCAAAAAAAAAAAAAAAGAAAAAGAAAAAGUGUGGCACUUCCCUCCUAGCUCUCUCUCUCUCCUGCCACCACGUAUGAUGUGCCUUGCUUCCCCUUCUCCUUCCACCAUUAUUGUAAGUUUCCUGAGGCUUCUCCAGCCAUGUGGAACCAUGAAUCAGUUAAACCUCUUUUCUUUAUAAAUGAUGUAGUCUCAGUUAGUUCCUUAUAGCAGUGUGAAAUGGACUAAUACACUAGGUAUAUGUAUAUCUGUACUUAUGUCUACAUAUAUUGAUAUCACUAUCAACAUCUAUAUCUAUAUCGUCUUCUGUAAAUGAAGUGGCAGUAAAGCCCUGAAUUCCAGUCUCUCUAACAUUCACAUUGGUUCUCAGCCCUGGUUGCACAUCAGUGUCACCUCUGAGAGCACUUACAAAAUACAGAUGCUUGGACACCAUCCACAGAGAUUCUAAUCCAGUAGACUUGGGAUGAAGCCCAAUCAUCAGAAUUUUUAAAAAAAUAAAAUCUCCCAAGAUGAUAUUAGCAUGCCAUUGAGAGCCACUAACUUAAAUUUACUAAGCUUCAUGUUCCCAUGUAAUCAGUACAAACACCCAUCUCCCAGGAUUACAUAACACAAUGUACAUGAGGCUUUUUAUCACAAUGUGGGACCUAACCCUGUAAAUGUUAGUUCCAUUAAUAAUUAAUAUUCAUUACUUUUUUCUUUUGAGAUGGAGUCUCGCUCUGUCGCCCAGACUGGAGUGCAGUGGCACGAUCUCGGCUCACUACAACCUCCACCUCCUGGGUUCAAGUGAUUCUUCUGCCUCAGCCUCCUGAGUAGCUGGGAUUACAGGCACCUGCCAACACGCCCGACUAAUUUUUGUAUUUUUAGUAGAGACGGGGUUUCACCAUGUUGGCCAGGCUAGUCUCCAACUCCUGACCUCAGGUGAUCCACCUGCCUCAGCUUCCCAAAGUGUUGGGAUUACAGGUGUGAGCCACCGUGCCCGGCCUUUAAAUUUUUUUAUUGGAAAAAAUUUUUUGCCCAUGACACAGCCCUCAGGAAACCCUGAGAACAUGUGCCCUAAUUCAUUUUUUUAUAUGAAGUAGAGGUGAAAAUUCUUUUAUAUUUUUUCUAUAUGGAUAUCGAAUGGUUCCAGCAUCAUUUUGUUAAAAAAUUCUCUUUCUCCAUUGCAUUGACCUGGUACCUUUGUGAAAAAUAAGUGGAUUCAAUAUGUAUGGGUCUAUUCCUGUAUUCUAUUCUGUUCCAUUGAUCGGUUUGUCUAUCCUUACGUUGAGUCCUUGUCUUUUAAUUGGAGAUUAUUGAUGCAGUUUGUUGACUCCUUCUGUAUAUCCUAAUUUCUCUAAUCAGGCCAAAUCUUUCUCAGUAACAGCAAGGGAUAAAGAAAGCAAAGAAGGCAGUGAGCUGAGUGCUGCUAAGCCAAUUCAAAAAGCCGUCAGAGGAAUGAGCCCUGCUUUGACUUGUGCAGGUGUUUCUUUCCACUGAUCAAUGGUUAUCAGGUCAAAAAGCAAGGCAACACGAUUAAAUAAUCAACAUUUUCUACCUAAGUUAUGACCAUGCCAGUGAAAGGCAAAGUAGGGCUGCAGUAGCCAAGAAUGUCCCGAGCUCCCAGCUGCAGCCCAAUCCCUUGAAUUUACACCCUAAGCCCAUCACUCACUCUUAAACUCAGUCCACUGUUCAAAAGCCUCCAGAACAACCUCCCAGAACUUCCGCCGAGGUAGAACUGGUUGGCGCAUAUGCUGUUCUGACUGUAAUUACUGUUUGCUCUGUUCACUUCAUUUGUAUGACUUUUCUAAUAUCAUAAUGAUCAUAUCAUUAUCAAGAAGAGGAGACCCUUUGUAGUAAUUUGCUAUAACAAAGUCCUACAAACUGGGUGGCUUAAACAAUAUAAAUGUAUUUUUUCACAAUUCGGGAGGCUAGAAGCCUGAGAUCGAGGUAUUGGCAGGGCUGAUUCUGAGGUCUCCUUGACUUGUAGAUGGCCGUCUCCUCCCUGGGUCUUUAUCUGGGCUUUUCCUUGGACAUGUCUGUGGUUAAAGUGAUGAAAACUCAUGGCUUGUUAUCUUGGAUUUGUUGCUUAAAAUUUGUGUGAUGUUGAGCAAGUCGUCUACACUCUUUGCACUUCAGUUGUACCAAAGUGGGUUGGAAGGUUCUUAUUUAUUUAUUUAUUUUUUAGAUGGAGUCUCACUCUGUUGUCCAGGCGGGAGUGCAGUGGUGUGAUCUUGGCUCACUGCAACUUCCGCCUUCCGGAUUCAAGCCAUUCUCCUGCCUCAGCCUCCUGAGUAGCUGGGACUACAGGUGUCUGCCACCAUGCCUGGCUAAUUUUUGUAUUUUUAGUAUCCACCUGCCUUGGCCUCCAAAUGUAUUGGGAUUACAGGCAUGAGCCAUCAUUUCCGGCCAUAUUUUAUUUUUUUAAGAGGUAGGGUCUUGCUCUAUCGCCCAGGCCAGAAUACAGUGAUGCAAUCAUAGCUCACUGCAGACUCAAUGGUUAAGCAAUCCUCCAGCCUCAUCCUCUUGAGUAGCUGGGACUACAGCUGUGUGCUUCCAUGCCCAGCCAAUUAAAUUUUUUUGUUGUUGUUGAGAUGAGGGACUCACUAUAUUUCCCAGGCUGGUCUCAAGCUCCUGGCCUCAAGCGAUCCUCCAACCUUGGCCUCCCAAAGUGUUGGGGUUACAGGUGUGAGCCACCGCACCCAGCUGAGUUGGAAGGUUCUGACUGUCAUCCUGGUUUUACCAUGCACUGGCUAAUGAGACUAAAUGCAAGUUCUACAAGUUUCCAAAGUCUCAGUUCUCUCAUCUGCAAAAAGGGCUAACAAUGCCCACACAGCUCACCUCACAGGCAUUUGCAGAGCAUCACAUGAACAAGUUGGUGAAUAUUUUAGAUCUUUAAACAGUUUUGCCUUUUCCAGGAGGUCAUAUAGUUGGAAUCAUACAGUAUGCAGCCUUUUCAGAUUUUCAGGCAAAACCAUGGAGACAACAAAAAGGUUAGUGAUUGCCAGGGUUUAGGGGUGGGUGGGUAGGGAUGAAUAGGCAGAACACAGAGGGUUUUAGGGCAGUGAAAAUACUCUGUGUGAUACUGUAAUGGUGGAUACAUGGCAUUAUACAUUUGUCCAGACCCACGGAAUAUGCAAUGUCAAGUGUGAACCCUAAUGUAAAUUAGGGACUUUGGUGAUAAUGACGCAUCAGUACUGGUAGGUGCCUCAGUUGCAACAACUGUACCACUCUGGUGGGGGAUGUCGAUCAUGGGGGAGGCUGUGCAUGUGUAGGGAAGGGGGUGAAUGGGAAUUCUCUCUGCCUUCCUCACAAUGUUGCUAUGACCCUAAAACUGUUUUUAAAAAAAUCUUAAAAAAAUAAAAAAUAAGGCCGGGUGUGGUGGCUCAUGCCUGUAAUCCCAGCACUUUGGGAGGCUGAGGCAGGUGGAUCACGAGGUCAGACGUUCGAGACCAGCCUGGCCAACAUAGUGAAACUCUGUUUCUACUAAAAAUAGAAAAAAAUUAGCUGGUCAUGGUGGUGGGCACCUGUAAUCCCAGCUACUCAGGAGGCUGAGGCAGGAGAAUUGCUUGAACCUGUGAGGUGGAGGUUGCAGUGAGCUGAGAUUGUGCCACUGCACUCCAGCCCGGGCGACAGAGUGAGACUCCAUCUCAAAAAAAUAAAAAUAAAAAAAUAUAGGCCUGGGCUGGUGGUUCAUUACUGUAAUCUCAGCACUUUGGGAGGCUGAGGCGGGAGGAUCCCUUGAGCCCAGGAGUUCAAGACCAGCCUGGGCAAUAUAGUGAGACCCUGUCUACAAAAAAUCAAAAAAUUAGGCAGGCAGGGUGGUGUGCACCUGUAGUCCCAGCUACCUGGAAAGUUAAAGCAGGAGGAUCGCUUGAGCCUGGGAGUUUGAGGCUGCAGUGAGCUAUGAUCACGCCACUGCACUCUGGCCUGAGUGAGAUAGCAAGACCCGUAAGGCAAGGCAGGGCAGGGCAGGGCAGGGCAGGGCAGGGCAGGGCAGGGCAGGGCAAGGCAAGGCAAAAGACAAGACAAAAAAGAAAGAAGAAAGAAAAGAAAGAGAUAAUGUAAUAUUUGGAUAGAAAUGAAUGACGAAGAUUUGGGAGAUAUCCUUUCCUCUUAUAUUGUUUUUUAAGAGCUUCUGGAAAUAGUCAAACUUAUUGGCAAGGAAGACGGGGUGUCCUGAUAACUGAUUAUCUGUUUUCUACCAGGACAGCGUUUGCUUCUUCAGGUGAUAAUGGUGGCUGUUAAUCCAAAAGUGAACAGCAGAGGGCAGUUUGUGCCCAAAAAUGACAUCACUCUUGCUGUCUCCAGCAAGCUCUGUGAAUAUGGGGCCAGGGAUUAUAAUAAAAUUCAUGUAGAGUCCACUAAUACUGCAAUCCACGGGUGCAGCUCAGGAUUGCUAUUUGUUUUUGACACACACACACACACACACACACACACACACACACGUAUAUAUAUAUUUUUGAGACAGAGUCUCCCUCUGACACCCAGGCUAGAGUGCAACGGCGCGAUCUCAGCUCACUGCAACCUCUGCUUCCCGGGUUCAGGCGAUUCUACUGCCUCAGCCUCCUGAAUAGCUGGGAUUACAGAUGCCCGCCACCAUGCCUGGCUAAUUUUUGUACUUUUAGUAGAGACGGGGUUUCACUAUGUUGCCCAGGCUGGUCUCGAACUCCUGACCUCAGGUGAUCCACCCACCUGGGCCUCCCAAAGUGCUGGUAUCACAGGCGUGAGUCACUGUGCCCAGCCUGUUUUUGAUCUGUAUAUGUUUUUUAAAAUUAUCAACCACACGCGUCGUUAAAAUAUUAAAUCUACACAAGAAUUUACAAAAGAUUCCUUAGAGUCACCACACGACCCUACGCAAUCAGGCCCCCCUUUUACUUCUCUGUCUUUGAAUCCUAUACACUUGUUGGCCCCAGCGCAUCCUCAGAAACUGUUCUCGCUGUUCCCUUGCCCUGGAAGACUCCUCCCCAGAUAUCAAUGAGGCUCAUUCCCUUACCUGCUUCAGAUCUUCACUUGAUCAUCUCCUUAUAGAGGUUUUAUCUGGUCUUCUCAUUUACUAUUACAGCCCCUCUCAACACUCUACACCCUCAUUUGAAAAGUUCCUGGAUCAUAGGGUUAUACAUAGUGUUAUUCUUUUUCUCCAGAGCACUCAUCACUCUUGCUCAAUCUGUUACACUUAGUAAUUAAAAAAAAAAAAAUUCUGUGGUUGGGCAUGGUGGCUCAUGCCUGUCAUUCCAGCACUUUGGGAGGUGGAGGUGGGAGGAUUAUUUGAGCACAGGAGUUGGAGACCAGCCUGGGCAACAUAGCAAGACCUCAUCUCUACCACAAACAAAUAAAAAAUCAGCUGGGCACAGUGGAGUGGGCCUGCACUUCCAGCUACUCAGGAGGCUGAGCUGGGAAAAUCACCUGAGCCUGGGAGGUGGGGGCUGCAGUGAGCUAUGAUUGUGCCAUUGCACUCCAGCCUGGGUGACAAUGCAAGACCCUAUCUCAAAAAAACAAAAUAACAUUCUGUCUCUUACCUCUAGAAUGUAAGCUUCAUGAGGGCAGAAACUUUUUUUUAUUUUUAUUUUUUUCAUUUUAUUUCAUCAGUGCCUAGACAAUCCUAGCAUGUAAUAAUAGGCUUAAUAAAUAUUUGUCAAAUGAAGCUACAACACAGCUCUGCUUAUGAAAGAUGCUGACCUUUAUGAGAAUGUGAUAAAAUGAAUUGGCAUCUUUUACUACCUCAUGCAUAAUUCUGGGAUUUGGCAAUUAGGGGUGGGCUCAGGUGGUUGGCUUUUCUGUUCUAGACCAGGCUUAGCUGAUCUUAACUGGGCAUGCUCAAGCUUCUAAGGUCAGCUGAGGCACCUCAGUUUUCCUCCACGUGGCCUCUCAUUCUAUAGCAGGCUGGCUUGGGCUCAUUCACAUGGUGGCCUCAGGCUUCCAAGCACAGCAAGGGAGGCAAUUCCAAUGUACAAGCCCCCGUUUGCAUUAUAUUUCCCAUUCUCUCCUUGGCCUAAGCAAGGCCCAUGACUAACCCAGAUUCAUGGAGGUAGGAGCUGCUAAGUAACAUUGCAAACAGGAGUGCAUACAAAGAUGAGAAGAAUUAGGGGGUAUUUUUGCAACCCACCAUCAUAAGUAUGAUUCAGUUGCCCUUGGAAAAAUAGAAUAAAAUCCCACCAAGAACAUAUUCAGUUGCCUGUUUCUUUGCUGUAUUAUGCACUGUGUAUUAUUACAUUUAACAAAACUUCACUAAUCAGAUAGAUGAAAAAUAGUGUCUUAUUUGCUCAGAGAACUUGAAAGACAUCAGUGUAGCUGGUAAGAAGUAGAGCUUGACCUCAAAAUGCAGGUUCUUGCUUAUACACUGUUGUUGGGAAUGUAAACUAGUUCAGCCACUGUAGAAAGUAGCUUGGAGAUUUCUCAAAGAACUUAAAACAGAACUACCAUUUGACUCAGCAAUCCAUUACUGGGUAUGUAUCCAAAAGAAAAUAAAUCAUUCUACCAAAAAGGCACAUGGACUGAAAUGUUGAUUGCAGCGCUAUCCACAAUAGCAAAGACAUGGAAUCAACCUAGGUGCCCAUCAGUGGUGGAUUGGAUAAAUAAGUUAUGGUGUAUAUACACCAUGGAAUACUACACAGCCAUAAAAAAAUAACCCAAUCAUUUCGUUUGCGGCAACAUGGAUACUGCUGGAGGCCAUUAUCCUAAGCGAAUUAAUGCAGGAAUAGAAAACCAAAGACUACAUAUUCUCACCUAUAAGUGGAAGCUAAACGUUGGGUACUCAUGGACAUAAAGAUGAGAACAACAGACACUGGGGGUACUAUAGUGGGGAGGAAGAGAUGAGGGGAGGGGUUGAAAAACUAGCUAUUGAGUACUAUGCUCACUACCUGGGUGAUGGGAUCAAGCAUACCCCAACCCUCAGCAUCAUGCAAUGUACUCAUGUAACAAGGCUGCAAAUGUAGCCCCUGAAACUAAAAUAAAAGGUGAAAUUAUUUUAAAAAUAUUGCAAAUUCUCACUUGGCUUGCCAUGCUUUCUCACUGUAGGCAGGGCAUCAAGACCUGUCCUUGACUCCAGGCUGCGUCCUGUGACUUGCUUCGGCCAAUAUGGUAUUCACAGAUGUGAUGCAAGCAGAAGCUUGAAAUAGGCUUGCGCGCUGGCGCUUGCUGUCUCUUGUCCCUCUGCCAUCACCAUGAGAACAUGCCCAGACUAGUGUGCUGGAGCAUGAGAGACACGAGGAGAGCUGAAGCAGCCCAGCCACCCUGCAGAGGCCAGUCCAGGUGCCUGGAUAGCCAGCUGACACCUGGACACGAGAGCAAGCCAGCCAGGAUCAGCAGAGCCACCUGGCUGACCAUCAGCUGCCCCAAGAUCUGUGCAUUGAUUGCUUUCAUCUCACUGGUCUCCCCAGAGGACCUGUGAGUUUAGAGCAGAGAAAUGGCAUCCCACAACUCUUAGAUGAUGGAGGAGCCUAAUUCAAUCCCAGCAUCCUCAGGCCCUGGGGACUCCCUGUUGUUGUGCUUGGACCUAUGAAUUUGGACACGCUCCUGGGACAUCCUUUAUAAAACUAUUAACCCUUUCCUGAUCUCCUGUAGUUUCCUUAGCUGGAGUGUUCUGAUGGUGCAGAGGCUGUUGGGCUGGGUUAGAAAAAUCUUAAUAAUUAUCAACACUCUGGCCAGAGUCAGACCCCGACAUCUGAUGGAAAGGGUCACGAAUGGCAGAAAAGGAAGCUGGCUGAAUUUGCCCAGAGCCUGCCUGAGAUGAUGGAUGAGCGGCCCGGCAGGCCAGGAAGGAUGGAGAUGUUUCUAUUUCUUAAGGCAGGGCAUUUUCUCCCAGGGCACAGGAUGAGUGGAAACAGGGUCAGAACAAAUCACUUUACAUUUUUUUUCUCUCUCUCUAUUUUUUUUUCCUUCUGAUGAGAAAUAACUCCUACUCCCAAGGCAUGAUAGACUAGUAAAACUGCAUCAAAGCUACAUUUAUGCUCUGAACAUUUUUUUCCAUGAAUUUUAAUCUUCUUGUGGGACUGUAACCUCUCUGAGAAUCUGAUGAAAGACAUGGACCCAUUCCCCAGAAAAAUACUCAUAAACACAAAUUUUUACUUAAAAUGUUAGGGGAUUUACAGUUUCUCUGAAACCCACUCAUGGAACCUAGAUUAGGAGAUUCUAAGAGAAGAAAAGAGGAAGGGAGGGAGGGGGAGACAGUAGUGAGGAGGGAGUUGGAAAAAAAUGGGGAGAGUUUUGAAACAAACGUGUUGAGAAGUUUGAACCACAGAUCCUCUGCCCCCUCUUCACUCUGUGCUAGUUCAAGAACCUAUACUUUUCCUACAAAUCACUUCUCUUAGUCAAUGAUAUCAUAGUCCAUGUAUCGUUCUGCAAACCUGCCUUUUCCCAUCAAGUCUGCCUAUUUCAUAUCUAUUCAUAUAUGGUAUAUUUUGAUGUAGUCUAUUCACUUUAACUGCUAGAGAGUAUGUGGUAGGAAUUUACCUCAUUUUAUGUAUCCAUUUUCUAAUAUUGGACAUUUAAAUAGUUUCCUGUUUCCCGUUACCUUUGGAAAUAUCCUUGUAUAUUUCUCCUUGCGCACAAGUGAGAGAAGUUUCUCUGUGGACUUUUCUUAGAGUGGAAUUGCUGGGUUGUAGGGAGUGAGGGUUUUUUUUUUUUGAGACGGAGUCUUGCUCUGUGGCCCAGGCUGGAGUGCAGUGGUGUGAUCUCGGCUCACUGCAACCUCCACCUCUUGCGUUCAAACGAUUCAGGAGUGAGCAGUUCUUGAACAUUUUAAGAUACAAUUACCUUGCUCUCUGGGGUCAUUGCACAAAUCUACAGUAGUGUCUUGGGGUUGUGUUACCCACGUCCUUUUCAAGGCUUGUUAUUUUCUGACUUUUAUACAUUUAAAAAAUGAAUCUGAUGGGCUUAAAAUGAUGUGUGUAUAUUUUUAAAUGUGUGUUAUAUUUGCAUUUAUUCACUUUUUUUUUUUGGCGUUUGUGUGCCUCUUCUGCAAAUUUCCUAUGUCCUUUGCCUAUUUCCCUUCCCCUACUAGCAUAUUGAAGGUGAAGUCUUUCUAGGUCUUGGUUUUGGUUUUUAAAAUUUGGCCAUAGCCCUACCUCCUCAAAACUUGGUAAAAAAAAAAAAAGUGGCAUGCAUGGGAGACGAAGUCAGAACUUGAAUUUAGGGUAUUCCAGUUUCAGUCCUGGCUCUGAUGCUAACUGGCUGUGUGAAUUUGGGCAAGUUAUUUAACCUCUGUAAACCUCAGCUUCCUCACCUGGAGAAUGGUGAUAACCAUCUCUACUUCUCAAAGUCAAUGACAGGCUUAAAUACACUGGUGCCUAUGAGUGGUCAGUAAAUAACAGUUGAGUUGAAGAGCCCAGAUAAAGUUCUCACCAUGUCCAGAUGCCUUCACAUAUAGCUCUGAACGGAUCUAUAGCACAGCCUCCAUGAAGGAAUUCAGCUAUCACAGUGGGGCACAGCCCUCCCAUAGGACGGUUCUGCUGUCUGCCAGGUGGCCCUAGAACUGACACACAGUUCUGGAGACCCGUAGACUGUUCUAGGGAAGCCCCCUCCCCACUUUCUCUGCUACUUCCAGAGAGGUCUCAUGGGACAUCAUUAACCUCACAUCGGAACAGUAGUGGCUCUGGAAUGCCAAACCAGCAUCUAUACCCUCCCUUAAUGCCCACUAAGGAAACCAAACCAUUUGGAAUUAGUAAUAAUAACAAAAGAAACAACAAUAGCUCAUCAUUCUUGAAUGCUACCUGAAUAGAUAUAAAGCACUUAGAACAUUGCCUAACACAUAGGAAGCACUAUGUAAGUGUUAGCUAUCAUCAUUAUUAUUAUUACAUGGUGAUGAUGAUGAUGUACUAGGCACUGAGUUAAGCAUAAUGGACAUUAAUUUGUUUAAGCCUCAUAACUGUAAAGAUUUUUGGUUAAUUCUCAUAAGUAUAAGUGCUGGGGAUGGACACCCCUCCCAGCGCUUUUCUAAGUUCUUUCUCUAAGCACAGAGAUGUUGGACUAGGGGGGAAUGAUUUUUUUUCCUUAAGAUGAUAGUAAUACUUCAUGUAGUAUUUGUUCAUCAAUUAACAGCUUACAAAGUGCUUCCAUAGGCAUGCAUUCUUUCAGUCCUCACAAAAUCCUAGUGCAGGAGUAUCUUAUCUCCCUUUUGAAACAGCCCCCUCUCAGCUUCCAGGAGCCACAUAUCCUGGUUUCCUUCCUCUAUCAUGGUCCACUUCUUUCCAAUCUUCUUUUGCUUGAUCCUCCUUUUCCCCCCGAUCUCCACAUGUAAGCGUUUCUUAGAGGAUCUGAUGCAUGAGUUCCAUGCGCAGAGAUUCUAGCUUAUUAAGAGUUGAUUUGCUGUUAAGGCUUAGGCAGCAGCACUUUUUUGGUGGGUGCAAAUUAUUAUUAUUAUUAUUUUUCACAGAGCAGUGUGAACAUUUAUUUGUACAAAUUUAUGGGCCAACACUCUCACCACUCCGAUUCAACAUAGUGUCAGAGGUAUUUGAACCAGAGUAACUCCAUCUUAAAUAGGAGCUGUGUAGAAUGAGGCUGAGUCCAACUGGGCUGCAUUCCCAGACAGUUAACGCAUUUAAGUCACAGGAUGAGGUAGGAGGUUGGCACAAAGUACAGAUCAUAAAGACCUUGCUGAUAACACAAUUUGCAGCAAAGAAGUCAGCUAAAAUCCACCGAAACCAAGAUGCCCACGAGGGUGACCUCUGGUUGUCCUCACUGCUACACUCCCAACAGCGCCAUGACAUUUUACAAACUCUAUGGCAAUGUGAGAAAGUUACCCUAUAUGGUCUAAAAAGGGGAGGCAUGAAUAAUCCACCCCUCGUUUAGCAUAUCAUCAAGAAAUAACCAUAAAAAUGGACAACCAGCAGCCUCCAGGGCUGCUCUGUCUAUGGAGUAGCCAUUCUUUUAUUCUUUCACUUUCCUAUUAAACUUGCUUUCACUUUAUGCACUUGCCCUGAGUUCCUUCUUGCGCAAGAUCCAAAAACCUUCUCUUGGGAUAUGGAUUGGGACCACUUUCCAAUAACAAUAGUACUGGAAAUCCUAACCAGAGCAAUCAGGCAAGAGAAAAAAAAAAGUCAUCCAAACAGGGAAAGAAUAUGUCAAAUUAUGUCUCUUCCCUGAUGAUAUAAUUCUAUAUCUAGAAAAUCCUAAAGUCUCUACCAAAAGGCUCCUAGAAUGGAUAAAUGACCUCAGUAAAGUUUCAGGAUACAAAAAUCAAUGUGCAAACAUCAGUAGCAUUUCUACACAUCAAUAAUGAUCAAGCUGAGAUCCAAAUCAAGAAUGCAACCCCAUUUACAGUAGCCACACCAAAAACAAAAUAUCUAUCUGGGAAUACCUCUAACCAAGGAGGAGAAAGAUCUCUAGAAGGUGAACUACAAAAUACUGCUGAAAGAAACCAUAAAUGACACACAAAUGGAAAAAUAUUCCAUGCUUAUGGACUAGAAGAAUCAAUAUUGUUAAAAUGGCCAUACUGCCCAAAACAGUCUAUGGAUUCAAUGUUAUUUCUAUCAAACUAUCAAAGCCAUUCUUCACAGAACUAG